UACGGGGAAACCUGGGAAUGGCCUCAUUAAAUCAGUUAUCGUUUUAUUUGAAAGUACCCUUACUACUUGGAUAACCGUGGUAAUUCUAGAGCUAAUACAUGCUAAAAAUCCCGACUCACGGAGGGAUGUAUUUAUUAGAUUAAAAACCAAUGCCCCUCGGGGCUUACUGGUGAUUCAUAAUAACUUCUCGAAUCGCAUGGCCUUGCGCCGGCGAUGGUUCAUUCAAAUUUCUGCCCUAUCAACUUUCGAUGGCAGGGUCUUGGCCUGCCAUGGUUACAACGGGUAACGGAGGGUUAGGGCUCGACCCCGGAGAAGGAGCCUGAGAAACGGCUACUACAUCCAAGGAAGGCAGCAGGCGCGCAAAUUACCCAAUCCCGACACGGGGAGGUAGUGACAAUAAAUACUGAUACAGGGCUCUUUUGGGUCUUGUAAUUGGAAUGAGUACAAUUUAAAUCCCUUAACGAGGAACAAUUGGAGGGCAAGUCUGGUGCCAGCAGCCGCGGUAAUUCCAGCUCCAAUAGCGUAUAUUAAAGUUGUUGCAGUUAAAAAGCUCGUAGUUGAACCUUGGGCCUGGCUGGCCGGUCCGCCUCACCGCGUGCACUGGUUCGGCCGGGCCUUUCCCUCUGGGGAGCCCUAUGCCCUUCACUGGGUGUAGUGGGGAACCAGGACUUUUACUGUGAAAAAAUUAGAGUGUUCAAAGCAGGCCUAUGCUCGAAUACAUCAGCAUGGAAUAAUAGAAUAGGACGUGUGGUUCUAUUUUGUUGGUUUCUAGGACCGCCGUAAUGAUUAAUAGGGACAGUCGGGGGCAUCAGUAUUCAAUUGUCAGAGGUGAAAUUCUUGGAUUUAUUGAAGACUAACUACUGCGAAAGCAUUUGCCAAGGAUGUUUUCAUUAAUCAGGAACGAAAGUUAGGGGAUCGAAGACGAUCAGAUACCGUCGUAGUCUUAACCAUAAACUAUGCCGACUAGGGAUCGGACGAUGUUAUUUUUUGACUCGUUCGGCACCUUACG
rnacentral:rRNA from 1 species